CGUGAAGAGGUUUUUGUACGGCGCCUCUAUGAGUCUGUAUCACUGUGGUGGACUUUCGGAGGAGGCAGCAGACUUGACGUGGGAAGUGACACCACUCCCAAACUGACAGUGCUGCCCCCCCUGGACACCAGCGGGAGUUCGGCCACACUCAUGUGCCUGGCUAACGGAGGCUUCCCGUCCGACUGGAGUCUGAGCUGGUCUGUAGCGGGGAGCAGCAGGAGCGGGGAGACCAGUCUCUGGGGCCCACAGAAGGACGGCCUGUACAGCUGGAGCAGCACCCUGACCCUCCCUCUCCAGGAGUGGACCCAGGACGUCCCAGUGACCUGCCAGGCAACACGGGGCUCCCAGACUGUCACCAAGAUCCUGAAGAAAUCAGACUGCUCCUAGGCUCUGCUUUAAUGUCUGCCAUUAUUCUGAUUUAGAGUGUGUCUGAUAGGGACUCUUCCUCUCUUCCUCUCUUUCUCUCUCUAUGUGGGUGCUGCUCUGAGUGACAUUUUUAAUCAUCCCUUUGUUGUUCUUUCAUAUCAUUUCAGAAUUUGAAGUGCUUGUUACUUUGCGGUUUCCUUGCAUUUUGACUAUUUCUACAAAUAAAGAAUAUUAAUCAGAUUUUAGAGUUGUUGUUAUCAUUGUUUUUGUCUUUCAAAUGGUUAUACAGAAGGCCUAUUGGUUGUAUUUCACUGCUACUCAAUGA